AAACGACUCUCGGCAACGGAUAUCUCGGCUCUCGCAUCGAUGAAGAACGUAGCGAAAUGCGAUACUUGGUGUGAAUUGCAGAAUCCCGUGAACCAUCGAGUUUUUGAACGCAAGUUGCGCCCGAAGCCUCGGCUAARGGCACGUCUGCCUGGGCG
rnacentral:rRNA from 1 species